rnacentral:rRNA from 1 species
GUGGGGAAUAUUGGGCAAUGGGCGGAAGCCUGACCCAGCGACGCCGCGUGGGGGAAGAAGUCUUUCGGGAUGUAAACCCUUGUUGUACGGGACGAAGGAAGUGACGGUACCGUACGAGGAAGCCCCGGCAAACUACGUGCCAGCAGCCGCGGUAAUACGUAGGGGGCGAGCGUUGUCCGGAAUCACUGGGCGUAAAGCGCACGUAGGCGGGCUGUCAAGUCGGCCGUGAAAGGCACGGGCUCAACCUGUGCAUGUCGGUCGAUACUGGCGGUCUGGAGUAUGGGAGAGGGAACUGGAAUUCCCGGUGUAGCGGUGAAAUGCGUAGAUAUUAGGAGGAACACCAGUGGCGAAGGCGACUUUCUGGACUGUACCUGACGCUGAGGCGCGAAAGCGUGGGGAGCGAACAGGAUUAGAAACCCGAGUAGUCC